rnacentral:lncRNA from 1 species
CGCAAGAGUUAAUGUGAUGAGCAAUUUUGACCAAUUUGCAAAAUGAUUUAGGACUAAACAGGGCCUAAAAAUGCUUGCUGCAUUGAGUGGCCAUGAAUUGGUGCCACGACUCUGAAAAAAUAAAGGUACUGUCUUUUUCCUAAGAAAAAUAAAGCCAUUUUUUUUCAAACUGAAUAUUGCGCAGUCAUGGGCUCAUGGCCCUCUGAAGUAAAAAUCAUGGGAUGGGAUACAUAUGCAUUGGCACUUCCUUGAAGGCUGAAACCAGCGUUAGCUCAGUGCACAGUAAACGGCCUUUCAUUGUCCAAUAAAUAUUGCAGUGCAGCAUCGACUCCACUCCACUGCAGCAUGUGAUACUAAACUUUUCUCAAUUGUUUGUUCUAGCACAAAUAAUAAACAUAAAAACUUUUGUCUUUAAAAUAAUUUCUUUUUUUUUCAAAAAAUAAACAUAAAACUGGCUGCGGAGAAAAAUAAAAUAAAAUAAAAUUGAAUAUAUAUACAGCCUCUGCAUAUGAUUUAGAAGCCGUUUUCGAUAAAGUUUAGGCUAAACAUUGGGAAUAUAAAUGAUUAAUAACUUUUA